GAGUUUGAUCAUGGCUCAGGAUGAACGCUGGCGGCGUGCUUAACACAUGCAAGUCGAGCGAAGUAGCAAUACUUAGUGGCAGACGGGUGAGUAACAUGUAGGUAUCUUCCCUUUGGCCUGGAAUAACACGAGGAAACUUGUGCUAAUACUGGAUAAGUCUUUACAGAGAAAGCUUUAUGCACCAUUGGAUGAGCCUGCACUUGAUUAGUUUGUUGGUAGGGUAAUGGCCUACCAAGACUGUGAUCAAUAGCUGAUUUGAGAGGAUGAUCAGCCACAUUGGGACUGAGACACGGCCCAAACUCCUACGGGAGGCAGCAGUGGGGAAUCUUGCACAAUGGAGGAAACUCUGAUGCAGCGAUGCCGCGUGAGUGAAGAAGGCCUUUGGGUUGUAAAGCUCUUUCGUCGGGGAAGAAAAUGACUGUACCCGAAUAAGAAGGUCCGGCUAACUUCGUGCCAGCAGCCGCGGUAAUACGAAGGGACCUAGCGUAGUUCGGAAUUACUGGGCUUAAAGAGUUCGUAGGUGGUUGAAAAAGUUGGUGGUGAAAUCCCAGAGCUUAACUCUGGAACUGCCAUCAAAACUUUUCAGCUAGAGUUUGAUAGAGGAAAGCAGAAUUUCUAGUGUAGAGGUGAAAUUCGUAGAUAUUAGAAAGAAUACCAAUUGCGAAGGCAGCUUUCUGGAUCAUUACUGACACUGAGGAACGAAAGCAUGGGUAGCGAAGAGGAUUAGAUACCCUCGUAGUCCAUGCCGUAAACGAUGUGUGUUAGACGUUGGAAAUUUAUUUUCAGUGUCGCAGCGAAAGCAAUAAACACACCGCCUGGGGAGUACGACCGCAAGGUUAAAACUCAAAUGAAUUGACGGGGACCCGCACAAGUAGUGGAGCAUGUGGUUUAAUUCGAAGAUACGCGCAGAACCUUACCAACACUUGACAUGUUCGUCGCGACUUUAAGAGAUUAAAGUUUUCGGUUCGGCCGGACGAAACACAGGUGCUGCAUGGCUGUCGUCAGCUCGUGUCGUGAGAUGUUGGGUUAAGUCCCGCAACGAGCGCAACCCUCACUUUUAGUUGCCAUCAUUUAGUUGGGCACUCUGAAAGAACUGCCAGUGAUAAGCUGGAGGAAGGUGGGGAUGACGUCAAGUCCUCAUGGCCCUUACGUGUUGGGCUACACACGUGCUACAAUGGUAUUUACAACAGGAAGCAAGACGGCGACGUUUAGCAAAUCCUUAAAAAAUACCUCAGUUCGGAUUGCACUCUGCAACUCGAGUGCAUGAAGCUGGAAUUACUAGUAAUCGUGGAUCAGCGUGCCACGGUGAAUGCGUUCCCGGGUCUUGUACACACCGCCCGUCACACCAUGGGAGUUGGUUCUACCUUAAGGCAAGGCUUAAAACCCUUGACCACGGUAUAGUCAGCGACUGGGGUGAAGUCGUAACAAGGUAACC
rnacentral:rRNA from 1 species